UAUUACAUCGCAUCAUUAUCUCUCAAUGAAUAGCAUACAUCACUUACAAAAAACUUUUCACCUAUUGGUUUUCCUCAAUUAAAUAAAUUUCCAUGGCUUCAUCUGUCUCUACAUAAUAAUCCAAUAAUGGUUGCUACCUUUGCAAGGUGUAACCUUUCAAUUUCAUAUUUAUGGAGAAAAAAGAACUACUACAAUCUCCUGUAGUGAGCAGAGACUUAUCUACAAAUAUAGGCUCCCUUCCUGUCAUAAAACAUAACUUCCAGGCAAUGGUUCUUUCGGCCAGAAGAUGAAUGGAGUCAACACAACGUUAAGAGGCUUAUUGUACAUCUCUUUGGGUUAACCGAAGAAUUUCUUCUAUUGUGCUGCAAAAGAAUGUGGUAGUACAAGAAAUUUAAAAGUUUUUUAUUACUCUAGGUUCUAAUUUGGAGAAAUAUAUUUUUGUAAAGAUUGGAGAAACACAUAAACAUUACACUUAUGCAAGAUGAUGUGUCACUUCUUUUAGGCCAAGGAUAUUGGAUUUAUCUUUUUUCUCCUUUU